UCCCUGGUGGCUCAGGUGGUAAAGCGUCUGCCUACAAUGCAGGAGAUCCAGGUUCAAUCCCUGGGUCGGGAA
rnacentral:tRNA from 1 species